rnacentral:misc_RNA from 1 species
AAGUCGUAACAAGGUUUCCGUAGGUGAACCUGCGGAAGGAUCAUUAUUGAAUUAUGUUUUCUAGACGGGUUGUAGCUGGCUCCUUGGAGCAUGUGCACGCCUGUUUGGACUUCAUUUUCAUCCACCUGUGCACCUUUUGUAGUCUUUGUCGGGUAUUGAGGAAGUGGUCAGCCUAUCAGCUUUUGCUGGAUGUGAGGACUUGCAGUGUGAAAGCAUUGCUAUCUUCUACUUGGCCAUGGAAUCUUUUUCCUUGACGGAGUCUAUGUCAUUUAUUACACCCUGUAGAAUGUCAUUGAAUGUCUUUACAUGGGCUUGCAUGCCUAUGAAAAUCAUAAUACAACUUUCAGCAACGGAUCUCUUGGCUCUC